rnacentral:tRNA from 1 species
CAGGUGGGCCUAAGUGGAUCGAAAUCACAUUCGCAAUGCGAAGGUCGGGAGUUCGAUCCUCCUCCGCCCAA